rnacentral:rRNA from 1 species
CCUUGAAGGGGCACGUGCACGCUCUGUUUACACAUCCACUCACACCUGUGCACCCUUGUAGUUCUAUGGCCUGGGGACUCUGUCCUCUUGCCGUGGUCCUACGUCUUUACACACACACACCGUAACAAAGUAUCAUGGAAUGUACGCCGCGUCUAACGCAAUACAAUACAACUUUCAGCAACGGAUCUCUUGGCUCUCGCAUCGAUGAAGAACGCAGCGAAAUGCGAUAAGUAAUGUGAAUUGCAGAAUUCAGUGAAUCAUCGAAUCUUUGAACGCACCUUGCGCCCUUUGGCUAUUCCGAAGGGCAUGCCUGUUUGAGUAUCAUGAACACCUCAACUCUCAUGGUUCGCCAUGAUGAGCUUGGACUUUGGGGGUCUUGCUGGCGUAACUGCCAGCUCCUCUCAAAUGAAUCAGCUUCCCAGUGUUUGGUGGCGUCACAGGUGUGAUAACUAUCUACGCUUGUGGUCUUCCAUCAGGUUACCUUCAGUAAUGGAGGUUCACUGGAGCUCACAGACGUCUCUCCUCAGGGAGGACAAGCUUCU